AUACGGAGGAUCCGAGCGUUAUCCGGAUUUAUUGGGUUUAAAGGGUGCGCAGGCGGCCAUUUAAGUCAGCGGUUAAAUCGUGGGGCUCAACCCCAUUCUGCCGUUGAUACUGGGUGGCUUGAUUGCGGUCGAGGUUGGCGGAAUUCGUUGUGUAGCGGUGAAAUGCAUAGAUAUGACGAAGAACACCGAUUGCGAAGGCAUCCUGCUGGACUGUAACUGACGCUGAUGCUCGAAAGUGUGGGUAUCAAACAGGAUUAGAUACCCUGGUAGUUUACACAGUAAACGAUGAAUACUCGCUGUUUGCGAUAUACAGUAAGCGGCCAAGCGAAAGCGUUAAGUAUUCCACCUGGGGAGUACGCCGGCAACGGUGAAACUCAAAUGAAUUGACGGGG
rnacentral:rRNA from 1 species